rnacentral:rRNA from 1 species
GUCAAUGGACGCAAGUCUGAACCAGCCAUGCCGCGUGGAGGAUUAAGGCCCCCUGGGUUGUAAACUCCUUUUAUCUGGGAAGAAAUGUACUUUUUCUUGAGUACUUGACGGUACCAGAGGAAUAAGCACCGGCUAACUCCGUGCCAGCAGCCGCGGUAAUACGGAGGGUGCAAGCGUUAUCCGGAUUCACUGGGUUUAAAGGGUGCGUAGGUGGGCAGGUAAGUCAGUGGUGAAAUCUCCGGGCUUAACCCGGAAACUGCCGUUGAUACUAUUUGUCUUGAAUAUUGUGGAGGUAAUCGGAAUAUGUCAUGUAGCGGUGAAAU